UGAAUUCAAGUUCUGGCACAGAGACGUU
rnacentral:piRNA from 1 species